UGAUUGGUUGAUCAAGUGAGGUGAAGAUCCUGAGGACAGCAAGUUGUCAGAGCACUUGCGAAAAACGGAUGUGUUUUCUUAUUUUAGGGGUUGCUUUAAGUUGUUUUUAUGUUGACAAUGCUGAAUAUGUGGUACCCAAGUAAGAGUCCUAUAAAGAAAACACAAUGAUUCCGAGACAAGGGACAAAAAGGGACUUAUUUUCAGGUUCGCGCCUGUGCCACUGCGGCAUGGCAGCCACCUAUCGAGACAGUGCAUGACAGUAUGCUAAUCUAAACAUGGUUGCUAGAUAGUUAGCCAGACACAAACAUGCAACACUAAACGCUAUGCUAUGUGUAUUUGAAGAUUACGAAAUGUAUCCAGAUUAUAUUAACAAACUCCUAGUAGCUAACUUGUUGGCUGGCUAAAUUAUGGUGAUGACCACAGUCACAGACAGUAACUUUGCUAGCUAAAGUCGCUACUGUUAAGUUACUAUUUGUUCAAGCCAACGGCUAGCUGUGUAGUUAGCUAUCAUUAGCUUUUAAAGCUGGCUAACUAGAUAGCUAGUUACCUGUCUGCCGUUCGGCAUGUUCUACCUAGCUAGCAGUUUAUUUGUCUGCACUAUAAGCAAUUCACAAUGAUCUGCGGGGCUAGCAUGUUGUGUUAUUUAAUUUUGAACACUAAGUCUCUGGUCUCAUUGUAUUUUCUAGGUAUUUCACACCAUUUUAUGUGAAGUUUAACAGGAUAUCUCUUAAGUGAAAUAUACUGUCAGUCAUUCUCUCCUUCUGCGUCGCUCAGAAAUAACGCUGAUAUCUGAAACUCAUGUCGAACGACUAUGAAGAGCGAGCCACAAUGAUAGCCGCAGUGGAAUUGCAGUAAUUUGUCCCGUUUCGCGUAUUCAGUACAUUAACCACCCGAACGAUGUAAACCUGCAGCUGCAAGCCUCUAAGCUCAAGUCCUCAGACACAUGGUCCCCUCCAGGAUGUCACAACCGCAGAAGUGUGUGUGUGUGGGGGGGGGUCUGUUGUGUGGUGGUUCCUUUUGAUACAGACAACAGUCACUAUUGUGUGGAUGUUUACAGGAGUGUUGGUUGCUGAGAAAGGGUUCCAGUGUGGACAGUGAUGAGAAUGAGGAGGAGCUCUAUGCAGCAGGAAACAUGGUCAUAGGGAGCAGAGGGAACAAGAGUCAAGCUUCCCAUGUUUACAAGGCUUUCACUGUGGGCAGUCCAGUACUACAGAUCACUAGAGUUUGGGCCUGUUCCCGAGGGAGCCGUAUUUCCUCCGCCUCGGGCUCGUCAGAGUCGUGAAAGAAGAAAAAGGAUUCCGCUAGUCUGUGUGGAUUUAACACGUGACAUCAAUAAGGGAUCAUAACUUUCACCUGGAUUCACCUGGAUUCACCUGGUCAGUCUGUCAUGGAAAGCAGGAUGUUAUGGAACAGACUGUGUGUAUUGUCCCGAGCAGCUAUGUGAAUGUGCACAGUGUGACACCGAAGGACUUAAUCUCCCCUCUACACUUUCAGGUCUUCAAUGUGUGGCCCACUAAAUUUGGUCUGCUGUUGGAACGCAAAAAGCCCUGCACCCGAGGCUCCUCCAAGUCCUCCCGGGGAACCUCUUCCCACUGUAUUCAGUAUGAUGCACCCUCUGGAUGAGAGUGGUGUGCAUACCUACAGGUCUGUUCGAGGCUGCCUGUGUGCAAUACGUCUCUGACAGCACCAUGAAAAUCGUCUUCUUCAACUGCAAGCCCUCCAUAGUUAUAUGACCCUGUGCAGGGCAUACACUCAGUCACUCCAGAUCAGAUUGUUAUGCAAAGCAUGCAGCUGCCCAAGAAGCAUGACACUUGGCCCCAGGCACGUGUGGCCACUGUGUACAUUGUGACAACAUGACGAAUACUACAGUACUUUUCCACCCGAGAACAGCUUUCUGAUGACCUCAUCACCAGGCCUCCACUCAUGGACUUACUCACCCAGCAUCUUCAGCAUGGCUGCACUCAGCCGGUUACGCUCCCCUGGCAUGGCGGCACCCUCCUUGGCAACGGCGCAGUUUAACGUGAUACCACUCAUGUCCCCCAGAGGGCACAGCUUCCUGCCCUCGCCCAACAGCACUGCCAACGAGUCUGUGCUUGUUCCAGAGAUGAAGCCCAUGGUGCCUGAUCUAUGCACUGAGCAGAUGUGGAGUGAGAUGGCCUCCUCCCACAGGCCAGUGUCUGAUAUUCACCUCUGCACCGCUGGCUACAGUGGUGUCAUGGAUCCUGCUCUGUGGCCUAGUUGGCUGACCCACUCUGUUAGAUGUUACUGUAGACAUGUUUACAUUGCUUUUGUCUAAUAAACCUGGGUUUAAUGGUAACUGCAGAUUUAUAAGCAAUAUUUUCAAAAGAUCUACCAUUUUUAUCCAUUCAAUGGUGGAUUUUUGUUUUGUAAAACUUUCCAUGUUGUGACAAAUGAUGGAAACUGUGUUUUGAUCAUUUGACAAAUCAUUUUGAAGUUAUGCACGGUAAAAAAAAAAUUUUUUAAACAUCUGUAAAUAUUAUAUUUUUUAGGGUUGUGUCACAAUGUUCAGCUGUUUUUAUCAACACAAGAUAGUUAAAUGGAAACACCACAGUAUGCAAUUUUCCCAUUUCUUUUCUGUGCAAACUUUCUGUCAACUUUCUAAAUGUCAACAAACAAUCUCUGGACAAUUUAAUGGAAAUAUAGCUUGUUUUUACAAUAUGUUUUUAAAUGCAGAAAAUAUUUGUAUGAGGUGUGAUAAAUAAUUAGAAUGUCCUGAACAUAUUGUAAUAUCAUUUCCAUGGAAACCAUUGUAGGGCAUACUGUGAAAUCUGUAGGAGAAUUCAAUGAAAUAGAUCUUUAUUGUCCCUGUAGGGCACUUCUUCCAUGCCCUACAGUAAAUACCCAUUGACAUCGGGAAGAUUUAAAAGCAUUGAAAAAGAGCCAUAGAUGUGUAAAAUAUACAGUAAAUAUCUGGCUUGUACAGUAAAUACAGUGCCUUGCGAAAGUAUUUGGCCCCCUUGAACUUUGCGACAUUUUGCCACAUUUCAGGCUUCAAACAUAAAGAUAUAAAACUGUAUUUUUUUGUGAAGAAUCAACAAUAAGUGGGACAGAAUCAUGAAGUGGAAUGACAUUUAUUGGAUAUUUCAAACUUUUUUAACAAAUCAAAAACUGAAAAAUUGGGCGUGCAAAAUUAUUCAGCCCCUUUACUUUCAGUGCAGCAAACUCUCUCCAGAAGUUCAGUGAGGAUCUCUGAAUGAUCCAAUGUUGACCUAAAUGACUAAUGAUGAUAAAUACAAUCCACCUGUGUGUAAUCAAGUCUCCGUAUAAAUGCACCUGCACUGUGAUAGUCUCAGAGGUCCGUUAAAAGCGCAGAGAGCAUCAUGAAGAACAAGGAACACACCAGGCAGGUCCGAGAUACUGUUGUGAAGAAGUUUAAAGCCGGAUUUGGAUACAAAAUUAUUUCCCAAGCUUUAAACAUCCCAAGGAGCACUGUGCAAGCUAUAAUAUUGAAAUGGAAGGAGUAUCAGACCACUGCAAAUCUACCAAGACCUGGCCGUCCCUCUAAACUUUCAGCUCAUACAAGGAGAAGACUGAUCAGAGAUGCAGCCAAGAGGCCCAUGAUCACUGGAUGAACUGCAGAGAUCUACAGCUGAGGUGGGAGACUCUGUCCAUAGGACAACAAUCAGUCGUAUAUUGCACAAAUCUGGCCUUUAUGGAAGAGUGGCAAGAAGAAAGCCAUUUCUUAAAGAUAUCCAUAAAAAGUGUUUUUUAAAGUUUGCCACAAGCCACCUGGGAGACACACCAAACAUGUGGAAGAAGGUGCUCUGGUCAGAUGAAACCAAAAUUGAACUUUUUGGCAACAAUGCAAAACGUUAUGUUUGGUGUAAAAGCAACACAGCUCAUCACCCUGAACACACCAUCCCCACUGUCAAACAUGGUGGUGGCAGCAUCAUGGUUUGGGCCUGCUUUUCUUCAGCAGGGACAGGGAAGAUGGUUAGAAUGGCCAAGUCAAAGUCCAGACCUGAAUCCAAUCGAGAAUCUGUGGAAAGAACUGAAAACUGCUGUUCACAAAUGCUCUCCAUCCAACCUCACUGAGCUCGAGCUGUUUUGCAAGGAGGAAUGGGAAAAAAUGUCAGUCUCUCGAUGUGCAAAACUGAUAGACAUACCCCAAGCGACUUACAGCUGUAAUCGCAGCAAAAGGUGGCGCGACAAAGUAUUAACUUAAGGGGGCUGAAUAAUUUUGCACGCCCAAUUUUUCAGUUUUUGAUU